rnacentral:rRNA from 1 species
AUUGAACGCUGGCGGCAUGCCUUACACAUGCAAGUCGAACGGUAACGGGCCUUCGGGUGCCGACGAGUGGCGAACGGGUGAGUAAUGUAUCGGAACGUACCUUUCAGUGGGGGAUAACGUAGCGAAAGUUACGCUAAUACCGCAUAUUCUGUGAGCAGGAAAGCAGGGGGAUCGCAAGACCUUGCGCUGAUUGAGCGGCCGAUAUCAGAUUAGCUAGUUGGUGAGGUAAAGGCUCACCAAGGCGACGAUCUGUAGCGGGUCUGAGAGGAUGAUCCGCCACACUGGAACUGAGACACGGUCCAGACUCCUACGGGAGGCAGCAGUGGGGAAUUUUGGACAAUGGGGGCAACCCUGAUCCAGCCAUGCCGCGUGAGUGAAGAAGGCCU